rnacentral:lncRNA from 1 species
CGGGCGAAUUUGGGCCAUUACAGCUACCCCUCUUUGCUCAUUAUCGUGUAAUGGGAAUGAAGCAAAGACUUUGAUAAGGCCAAAUUUGCCUGGUCAUGCGGGAUUCUGGUGUUCUUCUUCAAGUAGCCUCAUUCCAUCCUACUGCAUCUUCAGAGGUAUAAGAAUCGGCGUUUUGAUCCACUCCACUGUAAUAUCAGGGAGAUAGGAUUUGUAACUCGUAACUUUAAUCUGUUUAACUAUGAUGUCGGGGAGGUGGGAUUUGCUGUUGUAGCUUCAAUC